rnacentral:rRNA from 1 species
GACGAACGCUGGCGGCGUGCUUAACACAUGCAAGUCGAACGGAAGGCCCUGCUUUUGUGGGGUGCUCGAGUGGCGAACGGGUGAGUAACACGUGAGUAACCUGCCCUUGACUUUGGGAUAACUUCAGGAAACUGAGGCUAAUACCGGAUAGGAGCUCCUGCUGCAUGGUGGGGGUUGGAAAGUUUCGGCGGUUGGGGAUGGACUCGCGGCUUAUCAGCUUGUUGGUGGGGUAGUGGCUUACCAAGGCUUUGACGGGUAGCCGGCCUGAGAGGGUGACCGGCCACAUUGGGACUGAGAUACGGCCCAGACUCCUACGGGAGGCAGCAGUGGGGAAUAUUGCACAAUGGGCGGAAGCCUGAUGCAGCAACGCCGCGUGCGGGAUGACGGCCUUCGGGUUGUAAACCGCUUUCGCCUGUGACGAAGCGUGAGUGACGGUAAUGGGUAAAGAAGCACCGGCUAACUACGUG